rfam:Tetrahymena thermophila SB210 genomic scaffold scf_8254594, whole genome shotgun sequence.
AUCCUCGCGCAGAGGGGCAUUAUAGUAGCAAGUGAAGUAUUAACUGAUGCACUAUUAUUGCUAAUUGAGAACUAUGUUCGAUAAAUUGACUUUAAGUGUAAACUUAUUGGCAUAAUUUCUGAAGGGUCUUAUGGAC